rnacentral:rRNA from 1 species
GAUUCAAGCUACUUUAAGAGCAAAUGGUGGAUGCCUUGGUAUCUGGAGCCGAAGAAGGACGUA